UACGUAGGGGGCUAGCGUUGUCCGGAAUCAUUGGGCGUAAAGCGCGUGUAGGCGGCCCGGUAAGUCCGCUGUGAAAGUCGGGGGCUCAACCCUCGAAAGCCGGUGGAUACUGUCGGGCUCGAGUGCGGAAGAGGCGAGUGGAAUUCCUGGUGUAGCGGUGAAAUGCGCAGAUAUCAGGAGGAACACCGAUGGCGAAGGCAGGUCUCUGGGCCACUACUGACGCUGAGAAGCGAAAGCAUGGGGAGCGAACAGG
rnacentral:rRNA from 1 species